UUUGCCUUUUUUUUUUUUUUUUUCUCCUGUUUGUGUCUAUUAAAAUAAUCACCUUCAUCUGUUCACUACUCUUACACCUGUUUUCUCAGUCCCGUAAUCUGAGUCAUAUUUCUCAUAGUGAUAUAUUAAUAAAUGUUCUCUUAAAGAAACAGAAUACUACUUUUGGUCCUCUUCAUCCAUAUCGACUUUCUUAGUCUUUGGUUAUCCUGUUGGAAGUUCCACGUGAAACAGGUUAAACUGUUAAAACACGUCAUAUAUUCAUCAUCUCAAAACUCUGCGCCUAUGUAUUACUCUUAGCCUGUGGGACAGCUGAACAUUUAAAUAAGAGCUAAUUCAGACUCGACUGGUUACAUCUAAGCUAGUGAAUCCAGGAGCAUCCUGACCUUUGUGAAGUGAAUGAUUUAUUCAAGAGAGCAAAGGAGCUGUCGUACUAGAUCAGGAUAAUUGUGCUUCUGGUUUAGAGACCAAAACAUCUGAUUCAGAAUAUUAACUUAAAGACGUUUAGAAGGGGAUGAAGGGAAGAAUGAUCCAUCUGGGAAACUGCUGCCAAAUUUAUGAGCUGAAGUGAGAACACUGAUGAAGCCAGUGAUCCAAAGGUUUUUUAAGUAGGAGGCUGAGGUUGUAGUGAAGGAUUUGGGAAGUUUGGCUUUGGAGUGGUCAAGGCUGGAAUCUUUAAGCCUGCAGCUGGUGGACUCAAGUGGGUGGUAUUUGAUCUGUCAGUGUCUGCUAGCUAGAGCAAUGAUCUAUUUGCAACAGAAAGACUACACUGCCGUUUCCUGCUGAGAAAGCCAGAUCCAUACCAUGAGAAAAGGGACUCCUACAAAUCCAGCUUUAAUGCAAGUCUCUGGUGGCCUGUGCAGCACAAAGGGACUGGUGCUGCUGCUCUGAAACAGACUGCUGAACAGUGCAUAGUUUUGAAUACGCAAUGGAGCAACCUGUAUCAAAUGGAGGAAUAUAUAUAUACAUGUAUACAUACCUGAUUUUGUUCACCACACCUUAGCUCCAUGCACAAUUGUUCCUCCCUACUCUAGACUAUUGCUGUGCACAAGAAUUUUCUGUGUAUUUUUUUCAGAGCUAAGUCUAAAUAAUUUUGGAAAAUGUAGAAAAAUACACUGACCUGUGAAAUUCCUCAGUUGCUCCCUUCUCCUUUUCUGGAUAAAUGGGAUCUAAUGUGGACUGAAAGAGAAAACAUUAUGGAAAAACUUUGAGCUGUGAUGCUGUCACCGUAUUGCAAUGCAGUCUAUGCUUGUAAUAGGUUACAGUUCACUGCAUCCAUUAUACAACUGCUACGCAGCUGUAUAUGCUAAUAAGGUACUGACUUCCCACUUGGAGAUCAUAGCAGACAACAGAGGUUUUUUUUAAUCAAACAAAUUGUUAGGUAAUUUUUUCACUGUCUUGCUCACAUACUCGUCAUUCCUUGCAACCUUUUUUUUCCAGCUCUUUUCCAGUAUUUCGACUUAACUUCUGUCCUUUAAUGAAUUAAGUUUUGUUUAGAUUUUUCUUGAAUAUUGUCCCCCAUCCUGGCAGGUUUGCCCCGAGGAAGCUUUUUAUAAUGUUGAACUUAAGGUGUUUUUAUUUAAAUUUUAUUAUGUUGGUGUUUUAGGUUUUGGUUGAUUUUUUUUUUGACAUAUGCAGCCUUCUGACUCUGUUACAGAUUGAUCGUGCAUUAGUUUACUGCGCUCAAGAAACCUCUUCAAAGAUGAAAAUGUAAAAAAGUUACAUGGAUCAACUACAGUUUUUGUGAUUCUUAUUGAAAACACAAUAGAAACCACAUUAAAUGGCAUUAAAUUGA